rnacentral:pre_miRNA from 1 species
GUUAUACUCCCUCCGUCCCAUAUUAAGUGACGAAAUAUUACAUGUAUUUAGACGCUUUUUUGUUAUAGAUACAUUCAUAUUUGACCAAAUUUAAGUCACUUAGCAUGGAACGGGGGGAGUAUAUU